GUCUCCAUCCCAAGGCCAUCAACCAGUCGGUUGAGGCCAGUCCCAUUAUCAUCAGAAGAAUGACUAUCACGCCACAUAUAAACGCUAUCACCUGGAAAUUUAAAUCAAAGUGGUUGUUAGGAUGCAGUAGUUUGUAAAAUGUCCAACAAAAAAAUGAUAAAAAAUAUGGAUAAGACGGUAAAAUUUGAUUAGAUAAAAAACAAGAAUGCAGUAUUUGAAAAGAGGGCGUUCUAUAUGAAUAAUAUACACCCAAAUGAAGAAUGAAGUUUCGAAA